UAUUGGGUUGGCCAAAAGUUCAUUCGAGUUUUUCAGUAACACCUUAGAGAAAAACCCGCAUGAACUUUUUGGCCAACCCAAUA
ensembl:miRNA